GAUGAACGCUGGCGGCGUGCUUAACACAUGCAAGUCGAACGGAAAGGCCCAAGCUUGCUUGGGUCCUCGAGUGGCGAACGGGUGAGUAACACGUGGGUGAUCUGCCCUGCACUUCGGGAUAAGCCUGGGAAACUGGGUCUAAUACCGGAUAGGACGAUGGUUUGGAUGCCAUUGUGGAAAGUUUUUUCGGUGUGGGAUGAGCUCGCGGCCUAUCAGCUUGUUGGUGGGGUAAUGGCCUACCAAGGCGUCGACGGGUAGCCGGCCUGAGAGGGUGUACGGCCACAGUGGGACUGAGAUACGGCCCAGACUCCUACGGGAGGCAGCAGGGGGGAAUAUUGCACAAUGGGCGCAAGCCUGAUGCAGCGACGCCGCGUGGGGGAUGACGGCCUUCGGGUUGUAAACUCCUUUCGCUAGGGACGAAGCGUUUUUGUGACGGUACCUGGAGAAGAAGCACCGGCUAACUACGUG
rnacentral:rRNA from 1 species